AUGCGCCAAGAAGACAACAUAUAUAAUAACAGAGUGUAUAGAGAUAAAUGUCAUAAAACAUCAGAGUACUUAUUACAUAGCGGAAGUCUUAUUACAAAAUAAAAUAAUAAAGAUAAAGCGAACUAAGGAUCGUUGGCGCCAAUGUCGACCGAGACACGCCACCUAGAUCAGAUCGAACUCCUCAGUGUUAGGCGGCUCCUCUUCGACCACCUGCUCUUCUCCUGUGGGGGGGGGUGUGAGACAGCAAGAGUGAGCUCACAUACGUUCAUCGCUCAACAAGUUGUGGGGAAUAAUGUGGCAUGAACUCACAAAGGUGGGAGUUCAUGAAGUGUAAGGCUGAUCAAUGAAAUAAAGGCUGAAGCUGAGCAUUGCUUUUAUAAGUUGGUCAAAAUUUUAUUAGCAAUUACUAAGUGUAAGUAAAUACCAAACCUUAAUAAUAAUAAAGUAAUAAUAAAAUAAUCCCAAAUGCGAUGCAAAUGUCAAAUUAAAUUUAAGUUCCAUAAUUAAUCAUGUGAGGGUCCGAGCCGCUCAUGACCGUGAGCACGGCUAGUAUACUAGUUUUACACUCUGCAGAGGUUGCGCAUCUUUACCCACAAGUCGUGUAUCCCAUGUCGCCUGGGUUUGCAAGGCCCUUAGACACUACCGAGGUGAAUGGCUAGGGAUCCACUACGAGGCCUUUACAAAGUUCCACUAGCUUCCGAAAACCCGCUACAGUUUAUAGGAAGAUCCAGUACAGGGUUCCUGGCUGACAGCCAUCGCAGCAAAAUCAACCAGGGACCUCCCCGCACUGACCUCUCCCCUACUGCCCUUGCCCCUUUCGGGUAAGGUAGUCUUCCACUAGCUUUCCUAAUUAGUUAGCCAAGGGCGUCCCAUUAUACCCUUGUGGUAGCACUGUUUUCCCGGGUGGUCGCUCCAUGUUCCCAUUAAUUUAAUGAUCUUAACAUGAACAAUAAUAAUAACAAGUUAAUAACAGAAUAAUCAUGAAUAGUGUAUCUCCAUACCCAAUCCACAUAAAGCAAUAGCAAGUACUACCCAAAAAUAUUUCAGGGGUGAACAAGGUAUAGAGGUAAUCAAAACUGGGGUAACAUAAAGGCUCCCAUCAAAAUUAUCCUAUGCAGAUCAUUAAAAUUAAUAAGAACAUGGCUGGGAAAGUAAGUGAUCAAGGGCACAACUUGCCUUCAAUGAGCUCCUGCUCAGCUAUCUCUACUUGUUGAACCUCAGAAUCCAUAGUGGCUUGCUCGUCUACUCGCAUCAACACAAUACAUACAUAGUAUAGCAUAAAUUAACAUCACAUCAAACAUGUAAAUAAAAUAUACAGUAAAAAUCUAUACAUUAAAAUGAGACCAUAGGAACUGGAAUCAUUAAAUUUGGAAUUAUAGAUUUCAAGUUAUGAAUUUCCUAAGAUUUAAUGUGUUUGAGAUAGGAUUAAAUGAUAAAUUAAUUUUCUUACUGCUUUCAUGACCAAACAGAGACACUAAAUGAUAGAGAGUAUUAUUACAAAAUUUUAGAAAUUGGAAUGGUUCAAUUUGGACUAAAAAUGGAUUUUCUAUGAUUUAUACAAGUUCUAGGGUUUAUUUUCAUAUUAAAAAUCCAAUUUCUAAUCCAUUUAAUCGAUUUAAAACAAUUUCUGGAUCGGGCCUCGAUUUCCAGAGAAGUCAGGGGUUAAACCAGAGUUUUCCCCAAGACACAGCUUACUGUUACCGAGGAUGGCGGGUUGUUUUCAAAUAAACAGAGGGUCUCUUAUGAAAAAGUGCCUGGCCGAAGGGGUAUCGGCCAACGUGAGCCGCCCGAUCAUCUAUGGACGGCUUGGAUUAGGUUUCUUCUACAAGCAAACCGGUACGCACUUCAGGCCCUCGGAUCAAACCUCAACGCCCAUGAUUCUAAGUAACCUACAUUGAUUCACCGCCGACCGAUCGGAAUCGGACGACGUACGAUCCGCCCACCCGAUUCGGUACCUCUCUCCUAAUCUGGGUCGUCGAGCACUAGAUCAACGGAUCCGGUUAAUCUUCUUACUCCCAUUCAAUCCCGACGGCGGCGCAAGGAUUUUUGCGGCGAGCUCUCGCCGGCGCGAUGCGCAUUAGGCACAUACGAGCCUAACCAUCAAAUGUGGGUACAACAACGUCUAGUGGAUAUAAAGGCGAACAUGAGAAGAGGGGGCUCACCGGCGGUAGCGCUGCGUGGAGGUCAGACCACGGUGGGGGGGUCCUCUCGGCACAAACCCCCUGCUCCAGUGGGCAAUUCACGUCGCGCCAAGGUCCCGCGGGCGCCAAUCCCACCCUCGUUUGGAUCCACGCACCCGGCCGAAGGUCCCAGAGCACCCGUCGGAGGAAGAACAGGGAUGGAAGUCCCCUGCCCGUUUCCUGCGCGCUCUCCCUCUUCUAUCAAUGGCGUGCGCGGCUUCCUGCGUUUUCUCCCCCUACGUUGGUGGCGGUCGCGAG
rnacentral:lncRNA from 1 species